CGGUGGGAUACCACCCUGGCGAUAUUGAAAUUCUAACCCGCACCCCUUAGCGGGGUGGGAGACAGUGUCAGGCGGGCAGUUUGACUGGGGCGGUCGCCUCCCAAAAGGUAACGGAGGCGCCCAAAGGUUCCCUCAGAAUGGUUGGAAAUCAUUCGGAGAGUGCAAAGGCACAAGGGAGCUUGACUGCGAGACGGACAGGUCGAGCAGGGACGAAAGUCGGGCUUAGUGAUCCGGUGGUUCCGCAUGGAAGGGCCAUCGCUCAACGGAUAAAAGCUACCCCGGGGAUAACAGGCUGAUCUCCCCCAAGAGUCCACAUCGACGGGGAGGUUUGGCACCUCGAUGUCGGCUCAUCGCAUCCUGGGGCUGUAGUCGGUCCCAAGGGUUGGGCUGUUCGCCCAUUAAAGCGGUACGCGAGCUGGGUUCAGAACGUCGUGAGACAGUUCGGUCCCUAUCCGUCGCGGGCGCAGGAAAUUUGAGAGGAGCUGUCCUUAGUACGAGAGGACCGGGAUGGACGCACCGCUGGUGUACCAGUUGUCCCGCCAGGGGCACCGCUGGGUAGCUAUGUGCGGACGGGAUAAGCGCUGAAAGCAUCUAAGCGUGAAGCCCCCCUCAAGAUGAGAUUUCCCACCGCGUCAGGCGGGUAAGAUCCCUCGAAGAUGACGAGGUCGAUAGGUCCGAGGUGGAAGCGUGGCGACACGUG
rnacentral:rRNA from 1 species